rnacentral:rRNA from 1 species
GUUGGGUAGGGGAGCGUUCUGUAAGCCUGCGAAGGUGGCCUGUGAGGGUUGCUGGAGGUAUCAGAAGUGCGAAUGCUGACAUAAGUAACGAUAAAGCGGGUGAAAAGCCCGCUCGCCGGAAGACCAAGGGUUCCUGUCCAACGUUAAUCGGGGCAGGGUGAGUCGACCCCUAAGGCGAGGCCGAAAGGCGUAGUCGAUGGGAAACGGGUUAAUAUUCCCGUACUUGGUGUUACUGCGAAGGGGGGACGGAGAAGGCUAUGUUGGCCGGGCGACGGUUGUCCCGGUUUAAGCGUGUAGGUGUGUGUUCCAGGUAAAUCCGGUUCACUUUAACACUGAGGCGUGAUGACGAGGCACUACGGUGCUGAAGCAACAAAUGCCCUGCUUCCAGGAAAAGCCUCUAAGCAUCAGGUAACAUCAAAUCGUACCCCAAACCGACACAGGUGGUCAGGUAGAGAAUACCAAGGCGCUUGAGAGAACUCGGGUGAAGGAACUAGGCAAAAUGGUGCCGUAACUUCGGGAGAAGGCACGCUGACACGUAGGUGAAGUGAUUUACUCAUGGAGCUGAAGUCAGUCGAAGAUACCAGCUGGCUGCAACUGUUUAUUAAAAACACAGCACUGUGCAAACACGAAAGUGGACGUAUACGGUGUGACGCCUGCCCGGUGCCGGAAGGUUAAUUGAUGGGGUCAGCGCAAGCGAAGCUCCUGAUCGAAGCCCCGGUAAACGGCGGCCGUAACUAUAACGGUCCUAAGGUAGCGAAAUUCCUUGUCGGGUAAGUUCCGACCUGCACGAAUGGCGUAAUGAUGGCCAGGCUGUCUCCACCCGAGACUCAGUGAAAUUGAACUCGCUGUGAAGAUGCAGUGUACCCGCGGCAAGACGGAAAGACCCCGUGAACCUUUACUAUAGCUUGACACUGAACAUUGAGCCUUGAUGUGUAGGAUAGGUGGGAGGCUUUGAAGCGUGGACGCCAGUCUGCGUGGAGCCGACCUUGAAAUACCACCCUUUAAUGUUUGAUGUUCUAACGUGGACCCGUGAUCCGGGUUGCGGACAGUGUCUGGUGGGUAGUUUGACUGGGGCGGUCUCCUCCUAAAGAGUAACGGAGGAGCACGAAGGUUGGCUAAUCCUGGUCGGACAUCAGGAGGUUAGUGCAAUGGCAUAAGCCAGCUUGACUGCGAGCGUGACGGCGCGAGCAGGUGCGAAAGCAGGUCAUAGUGAUCCGGUGGUUCUGAAUGGAAGGGCCAUCGCUCAACGGAUAAAAGGUACUCCGGGGAUAACAGGCUGAUACCGCCCAAGAGUUCAUAUCGACGGCGGUGUUUGGCACCUCGAUGUCGGCUCAUCACAUCCUGGGGCUGAAGUAGGUCCCAAGGGUAUGGCUGUUCGCCAUUUAAAGUGGUACGCGAGCUGGGUUUAGAACGUCGUGAGACAGUUCGGUCCCUAUCUGCCGUGGGCGCUGGAGAACUGAGGGGGGCUGCUCCUAGUACGAGAGGACCGGAGUGGACGCAUCACUGGUGUUCGGGUUGUCAUGCCAAUGGCACUGCCCGGUAGCUAAAUGCGGAAGAGAUAAGUGCUGAAAGCAUCUAAGCACGAAACUUGCCCCGAGAUGAGUUCU